GGCUAGCUCAGAUGGUAGAGCAUGAGACUUAAUCUCAGGGUUGUGGAUUCAAGCCUCACAUUGACUU
rnacentral:tRNA from 1 species